CAGCGAGAGGACAGGGACCCCACCGCAGCACCCUGGAGACGGACCGCUGUGCAAUGGACUGUGUGCGUGUGAGGAGGGUCGUAAAACGCGCGGUGAGGAAGAGGUUAAAUCCAUCUCAUCUGACGCUAAACAAGAAAUAAUGGUUUCUUUCUUCUCGCAAGCAACGGAAAGAGAAAGUCCCUCAUUUCCCUUUGCGGACAUCGGGUUCCUGAAUAACUCCCCGGAGUAGAUUCAUCAUCAUUACAUUAAAUCAGCCAUGGCCUCCAUCAGUGGUUCGUUUGCCUCAGUGUUAACUCAGCGGGAGCCGCAACAGGCUGUGAAUUCUACACGCAAACAAACAGAGAAAAUAACAACGACAACACACACUGAAUAAUUCUUUUGUGUACACUGGGGCGAACAGUGCCACCAAAAGGGAUCAUAUUUUAAUAUACAGCAUAGUGUGUAAUUCACAGAGACACUUUUAAUCCCCUAGGGGUCGUGGGAGAAUGUCUUUCUUGUUUCUUUUCUGUGAAUAUCUGUGCAUUUUCCGAGUGAGGCUGCUGAAUCCCUUAAUCGAAUCUCCUUUCAUCGGGCUUUCGUGGCGCGUGAGUGGAUUCUGCACAUCAGACAUUCAUCACACUUCUGACCCUGCAGGCUUCCCGUGGGCCAGAGGAGAGAAGGGAAACAAAUAGGAAACACGGUAUGUGCAACAACGCGUUUAGCUUCGCUUUAAAAUGUAACGGUGGAGAGAUGAAGCCCUCUCCGAUUCGAUGCAGACAUCCUCCCUGCCAUCAGAUCGGGACUACUUCAUAUUGUCAUUACAUGCAGUUUUAAUUAUUGUCCCUUCCAUGUGUCUGGGUAAAAAAAAAAUUAAAGAUAGUCUGCUAUGUAGGGGGGGCUUUGAUCUUCCUAUAUUAUCAAUGGGGGUUUGGGAACCACUAGCUUAUGCUAUGAACUUGAAAACACCCUAUAAACCAUAAAAACAUUUUUUUGUGUGCAAAAGAUUGUCCUAAUUGCCCGUGUGUUAAUUUAUAUGUCAAUUCAUAUUUUAAUUGUUUCAUCUCAUUCUGAUCCUCAGGCAAAGACUGUAUGUCAGACGUGGACGUACGGACAUCUGAACCGCGGAGGAGUGGGUGAGGACCGCCCUAAAGCGUACCCUGCUUCAUGGUCUAUUUGACUCUAGAUGGACCAUCAUUGACUAAAUAAACAUCAUGCCGUGUUGAAGUAGACUUGAAACCAGAGAUUGAGAUCAAAAACUCAUGUUUACAAUGUUUACUGAGGGAAUGAACCAAGAGAGAAGUAAAGUCCUUUCCUCAUAGACUAUCCUAUCAGUACUGUGUGCAAAAAGUAGAGGCUGCUUGAUGCUGUUGGUCGGAAUGUCCACCGGCGUCCAUUUGUUUCUAUCCCCUCCAGCCGACACGCAGUCCUCGCCUCAUACUAAACUGUCCCCUCCAGCCGACCGGAUACCAGCAGGAGGGUCAUUUGACCUUUCACCAACAUCACAGCAGCUCCUGUGUCCACCACACUGCUGAUAAUCUCCCCCCCGUUCAUUUAGAUCAAAUCUACACAUGCAUGCAAGUGGCUGCGACGACCAACUGCACGCAGGCGGUUGCAGGUCGUGAGCUUCCAGGUGGAUCAUUCCAGCCAGCUUGGUAUUCUGACGAAGGGAGUCUGGACUCACUAAUAGGAUUCUGGGUUUUUCUUCUCUCCGAGACAACGUGAGCAAUGGGGAGGUUAAUCUGUAUGUGUUUGAAGUCAGGUCUGCGCCUCAUUGACUUUCUUCACCUUCCCUUGGCUCUGUCUCCAUUGCGCGCACACACACACACACACACACACAUCGGUGCUUUGAACUGUGACUAAAGCUUUCUCUGCGUCUCUGUCUUUGAUCCUUGUUAAAAGGUUAAGGUGACUGCAGGGAUUGGGCAGAGCGGGGAGUGCGUGAAGUUUCACCAAAGUUUUCACCUCGGAUGAUGACGCACACAAAGGAGAAGGUGGUGUGACCCUCUGGCGUUCCCAUCUAAUGGAACUCCUCUGUUAGGUGGAUGCGCGGCUCGGCGCCCAGAGGGAGGACAUCACGCCACCGUCAUGGACGCCGAUCAUCUCCUGGUCAUGAACAGUCGUCUCAUGGUGCUUCCCCGCUUCAGAUGAGGCCCUAACAGCAUCUCCACGAAGACUCGUAGGAAACUGUGCCCCCCCCCCCCCCCCCCCCUCCCCAUGGUUCGAGCAAACUUCCGCUGCUUUGCUAAAUGUCGAGAGAAGAUGAAGCAGGUUUUCCGUUAGAAUCUGACUGGGAGCUCAGGCUGUCGUUGUGAUGUCGGCCAUGGCACAUGGCAGAUGGAGACGGGUUUGGCAUUAGCAUAAUUUUCCCACCGACCGUUUUCUCGCAAAUUCCUGCGUGGGAACGAGAAGACACACAGAUUCUGGAGCUCAUUACACUGUGGCAGCGUACACCAGUGUGUGUACGUCUGUGCGAGAGUGACUUAUUACGGCGAUGCACUGCUCAUCAUUGUUAUAGCGGUGCACAUUAGGCAGGGGAGCCUUGUGCUUAACGAGACGAGGCUUUUCAUCGAGCUUCAGCAUCCCCUCGUCAUGGCAACGCUCUGCUGAUCCUUUCACCUCUUCCCAUUGUUUUAUUUCUGCUGCCGCAGCCUCUCGGUCCGUCGGGUUCUCGCUGUUUCUUCCCCAACGUCAUUGAGCCACCGCUUUUCCUCUCGCGUAAUUCUUUUCUCUGCCCUUUUUUCCCGCAAUCCAUCCGGUCUGAGGCUUCUCCAUCCCUCCCUACGUCGUACCCUGUGACCCGGAGGAGCCAGUACAGAGACAUCAGCAUAAAUAACAUAUGAGGUGGUGUAGUAUUACCACAUACUCACACACACACCAUUGGCCUCUCCACAGUCUUCCAUCAGGAGCAGGGGAAUACAAUACAACGGUUCCCUGGGGAGGAUGUUCAUGUUUCCCUUAAAGGAGAAAAACAAUUGAGAAGACAACGAAUGAAUUGAAAGAGAAAUGUAGAUAGUUAUGAGUAGAACGUGCAGAUAGUAAAUACAUCUGUAUUACCUCUUUAUGACACCUGGAUAUAAAUGAGAACUUGCUGAAAAAUGUAUGGGGAAAUUAGCUGUCUGCGCAUUAAUAUUUGAAUAAAUACCAGAUUUACAAUAGCUUUCUGUGAGGCCAGCUGUGAGGCAGCCAUGAAUAUUUCACCAUAAUGAACGCCCUGUUGGAGGAGAAAGGCCUGAACUCUGUGAAUAUUUUACGAAAUGGAUCUAAACUACUCUCUGAAAGAUUGGAUUACCUAACUCGAACAUCACAAUGUGCUUGAUGUUUUGACCCGCGGAAAAGAGAUUAAAAAAAAGGGGAGACAUCAUUUUCAUUCCAAAUAUGAAACAUUGCUGUUGAAAUAAUGACGGUUUCCCUGCAGUUUCUCUGGUUUCCUCCCACAGUGGUGACAGACAUGCUGCCUUAGUUAAUGGAUUGCUCUCAACGCCCUGUGAUCAGUGCUUUGCUCAGGCCGACAUGUCGUUGAGAGUCGGGACCCGUCGACAGCUUCUUUCACUUACAUUUGAAAAAAGCCCCCAUCAUGUUUUGCAGAGGCCAUAAUGAGCGCUGCAAACAUGUUUACCUCCGAACAGUAAUUGGUUUCCAUGAACAUGUUUUCCCUGUAUAUACUGUCCAUUUAUAAUCUAUCAUAACAUUGUAGCAAUGGGACUGCAUCCCCCACGAGAAAACCUGUCUGUUUGAAACAAAAGGAAUCCAGUUUGCUGCAGCGCAGCGUUUGUUGCAAGUUGCAUUUGUCCCAUGGUGCAAAAAGUGUUCAUCUGACUGAAAGCUAAGAAGACAGGGGAGAAGACAAAUGCAGCACAGAUGUGCAAAGCUAAUUAGCAGGAAGCCCACAUGGACUCAAACAUGCAUCUACUAAUUACUGACUUAGCAGAGAUAAAUACCUCCACGUUCCAGGUAGCCUUUAAAUAGCAGACCCUCAAACACAAAAGCACACGACAAGAUGGCAACAAGGCAGCAAGGAUGAAGUGACAGGACAGAAAAGUGUGAAGUAUCUGGAGGAGCGACGGGGAGAGCGUGACAGGUGAGCAGGUGGUCAGGUGACGGGUGGGGAAAGGAGGGAAAGUCCUUUGGUGAGAGUGAAAAGGGCAUGAAUUGGGAUUGGGGAAUUCGGGGUGUAGCUUGAGAAUGCCGCGGUGAAACAUGUACACGUCCAACAUCUUAACCGAUGCUUCAAAGCUGAAGCUGGUGGCACUUAAUUCAGAGAGGCUGAACCUUUCGUUGCCUUCUGUGAGGCCAAGCACAAGGCUAGACCUGUUUAUAACGAGCCCUACCAAUCACUGCCCAUUAGUAUUACAAUGCAGUCCUGUAAGUAUGUGUAAUGAUAUGGAUGGUACAGCGAAGCAAAGUUAGAGAUCAUUUCUUUAUCAUGAACACCGAAAUUUUGUCUUUACAAACUUCUUUUCCAAGGCCGAACUUUAAAGGAUACAAAACAACGGUAGACCCAUUCACAUUAGGCCUUAACCGGACCAUUUAAUUGCCAUCUCCUCAUCACCUUAUUGUAUUGAACAGGUAGCCUAUUAAAAGACAUAGUAUUUUAAUCAACCAUCUUAUUAAAAGACCAUUAAGCUCUUCUCAUUCUUUUCAGGAGGUUUUAUAUUAGAAUGAAAUGUUAUAAGUACGCUACAAUUAUCAGAAACAUACAAACAUCCAUGCGGUUUAAAGGUGUACUGGAGGUUUAAUUGUUAAAUUAAAUUGUUUUUUCAUCUUGAGCCCUGAACACAUCCAUGCCUGUUAACCUGCUUGAUCCCAUGACAGCUUGACCAAUGAACUGGUACACAUGAAUGAAUACAACACUUGCAGACCAUAGUGUUUGGAAUAUUUCACUGCACUGACGGUGGAGCCGGCAUAAUUACCAGCUCCCUUGGCGGGGUUUAGCAUUUUAAAGGAAACAAUGAGGUCAGCUGACAGGCUGCACGCUAGAGACACAGGAUCCUUGCAGGAGUUGGGAGCAUCAGCUGUGCCGGCCUGUUUGGCAGCACCUCAGGCAACGAUAGCCUCAUGUCACCCACUGGUCCACUAUUCACAUGGAAGAGACAGGACGAUGUCCAUUAUUCAUACCAGGCCUGUGAUCGCUUUCUAUCAAAGUAUCUUACAGCAGGAGCCAAGGAAAGUCAAGGUCAAGUCUUUAACCUGGAGUCCCAGUCAAGUCUCAAGUCUUUAACUUGGAGUCCCAGUCAAGUCCCAGGUCUUUAACUUGGAGUCCCAGUCAAGUCUCAGGUCUUUAACUUGGAGUCCCAGUCAAGUCUCAGGUCUUUAACUUGGAGUCCCAGUCAAGUCCCAGGUCUUUAACUUGGAGUCCCAGUCAAGUCCCAGGUCUUUAACUUGGAGUCCCAGUCAAGUCCCAGGUCUUUAACUUGGAGUCCCAGUCAAGUCUCAGGUUUUUAACUUGGAGUCCCAGUCAAGUCUCGGGUCUUUAACCUGGAGUCCCAGUCAAGUCUCGGGUCUUAUAUGUAUUUAUAAAUAACACCACAUGACUGCAGACUGCAGACUAGUGCUGACAAACACUGCGACACGCAAACGGCAAUUAGCAGCCGCUUCAUCUCCGGGGUCCAGGCUGUCUGCGGUCUGAUGUGUCCUCCCCCGUCACAUCGCUCACCUGACACCAUCCGACACCAUCUGACACCAUCUGUCAGAGCGCUACAGAGAAAGCGAAGGAAUUAAUGUUGGAGUCGAAAUCCAGCUGUUUCUGAGUGAAUGCAGGCUGCAUGAAAGAAUAAGGCAUGACGUAUUGUUUUUAAAAAAAAACGUUUUUUGAACCACAAAUUCUUUUAUAGCUGUAGCUGCUAAUGUGGUGCACACGGUUCCUGGAGCCUCGUGGGUGGAGGCUGACUAAUCCGUGGCCGUGCUCGGUACAUACUGCCAUCAAACACUGAUUGUAUCAAAAGUGUUGGUAUAGUUUUCUGAUCGAAACACGAGGAACAAAAAGUUAUUACUCUAGUUUUCAAAUCGCACAUGGAGUUCUCUUUAGUAGUAUAUUGAAUUGGUUUUGCUUCUUUUGGAGGCUGGACAUAAUGUUAAGUAAUUUAAUGCAACGUAGAUUGUGUUAUUGUUCAGUGAAAUAAAACCGCACUCACACUAAUUCACAUCAGGUGCACAGUCUCACCUUUUGGCUUUCUCUAAAAGUAUUUUGUUUUGAUUUUCCACAUGGAUAUAAACAGUCUGCCAUUUCUCCUGGAUUCGUCCAGCUUUCAAUAACAGCGACUGAGACUUUCAGAGUUUACUGCAGAAACAGUGGCUUUUGAGACUUGCUUGUUGCUUUUAAUGUGACAGUUUGUCAUACAAACAGGAUUGUGUCUUCAUUUUUCCAUCUUUUUGUUGAUUUUCACAGGCUUACAUACUUAUGAUUGUAUACGGAGACUCAAAACAUUCAUAAGACGUGGAAGAAGGAGCUGGCUACUCUGCAGAAAUACCUUCUCAUGCAGUGUAUGAUGCUGACAGAAAUACAUGGCAGCGACAAGCAGUCCUGAGUCCUGCGAGUGCCCACAAAUGUGAUCACGAACAAUCUUCCCCUUAUAGAUCACGACCUGUUCAAUCAAUAUGAGCCUAUUUCGCUUCACAGCGCCUGUUGUGAAUUUCAUUACCAUGGUUUGUCAUUUUCUGAGUGCGUUGCCAGCAAAAGAGUUUGAGAAACAUGGUUUACAGCUAAUGUCAUUGCUAAUGUCAUCAUGCUAACAUCAUGGAAGGCCACCACUGAGAGAGCACCAGGUUUUGAAGAUGAAAUUGUGUCAGUUGAUUCAAGCAAAACAUGUGUCGACAUCUCUGGACGAAGAGAAUGUUGGCCUGGUUUUGUCUUUGCAGACCAGUGGAAGAAAUGUUCCAUGAAUACGUUUCAUAUAAAUGUGUAUCCUGCUUAAAAAGAUCACAAUGUGAAGCGAUUGAUGAGGGUUAGGCAACAACAUUACUUGGUAACGGUUUGAAAAAGGUUCAUGAUUGGUUUUACAAAGAAUCAUUGAAUGACAUGAUCUGAUAUAUUGUUUUGUCGGCACAAGCCUGCAAAUAAAAACCAGCCACCCUGAGCAGCUUUCAUGACAUUAUGUAACAAGUGUAAACUCAAUGUGUACUUUUAGUUUCACAUAGGACACGAACAGCCGUCUCCUGGGGCAUGUUUUGUUUUACCAAAUUCAUUGUACAGAGUAACCUGUUUACUAGUAAUCCUGCAAGCGAUAAUUAUUUAAAUGUGCACGUAAACACAAAUCAACGUUUCCUUUGUAUCCUGAACGCCAAAAAAAAUCGUGGCAACAGGGCGUCACCAUUGCUACGGUAACCGGAUGAGGAGAGAUCCUGUUCAAGCCUGUUUAACAAAACUUGUUAGCAAGUGUCACAUCACAGAAGAGCCGUCGUAUUCAAAUUCAGGACUCAGCGCUCCGAAUGUUGAGCUCAGAGCGUCUGAAAGGGAAACAGACAAGAGAAGAAAAGGGGAGCAGGAAUCAGAAGAAAGAGCAGGACAGGCUCGAGGCGUUGACCUGUCUUGCAUCCACUUCCCUAAUAUGGAGAGCAGCUUAUUAUCGGUGGCCCUCUGUCACCCGCUUUGAAAAUAUCAUUAUCAGCUGAAAAUGUGUAAAUAAUUUUCAAUCAGGGAGAGUCAACUUCAUCUUUCACAUGAUUGUGCUAAUAGUGUCAUAGUGUAGACAAGCGAGUACAAGAACCAACGCAUUUUUACAUUAGAUUUAAAAAGUCCCAUUUUCUCGUGCCCUGAUGAUAGCGGGCUGAUGGAGCCUGGCAAUUGUAGUGGCACAUUAUGGAUUUAAAAUAUUUUCAUUCAAACAUGCACCGUGUGCACUUUCAAGAUAAAAAUGUGUGUUGUGGCAGCACAACGCAGCAACCUCCGGUUCUACACAGCGAAGCCGUGCGUCCUCUCUGCUGACUAUCAGGGGGAGAAAAGGACUCUACUUCUCUCUUGACUUGGUCUCUGAGUAAACACUGUAAACAUGAGUUUAUGGCCUCAAUCAGUGGCGGCUGGUAACAAACGUUGUAGCCAUCCAAUCAUUUUCAGCAUCCCAGCAUGCACAACAACUAAAUAUGCAUUACUACUUUACUGUAUAUAUAUAUACAGUAUAUACGUAUAUAUAUACAUAUAUAUAUAUGAAGCUUAGGCGAAAAUUCAGUCAGGAAGGCUGGACAGACUGUGCCGUUCCCUGGUGGCCUCCUCUCUCCUUGUGGGUGCACGGCCAGCUGAUUAGGGGCGGGGUCGGGUAGUACCAGCCAACCAGACGUGGGUGCCGUUACCGUAAACAGAUUGCAUCGGUGCAGGCAAACGUUAAAAACUGUUCUCCUCUCUUUUGCUGUCAGUUGUCAUUUCAGCACGCACCAAAGACGACCCGCCACCACCCCUGAAGCCUCCAAUCUACAGCAGAACCUGGCAUAUUUAUUUCCUGUCUUAUUGUGUAGUUUUCUGCUUCUUGUCUCCCUGGGUAUCUUCACUUCCUGCCUCGUCCUGUCGUCCCCCUGUGAUUGUCUGAUUGUUUCUACCUGUGUCCAAUCACCUGCACCUCCCUGUGUAUUUAAGCAGUGUGUGUCUCUUGUGACUUGUCGCGUCAUUGUCUAUCGUCCUGGAUGUCUCUAGUUCCUGCCAGCCUUUUUUUCCCCCGGUACCUGUAUGCGUUUUUGCCCCUUGGCCAUUUUGUGUUGGAGUUUAUGACUAUUA
ensembl:lncRNA